GCGGUCGUGGUGGAAUUGGCAGACACGCUAUCUUGAGGGGGUAGUGGCCCUAGGCCGUGUGGGUUCGAGUCCCACCGACCGCACCA
rnacentral:tRNA from 1 species